UACGGGGGGGGCAAGCGUUGUUCGGAAUUACUGGGCGUAAAGGGCGCGUAGGCGGGUGUGCAAGUCUGUGGUGAAAGCCUCCAGCUUAACUGGAGAAGUGCCAUGGAUACUGCACAUCUUGAGGAGGGUAGGGGCAUCUGGAACGGUCGGUGGAGCGGUGAAAUGCGUUGAUAUCGACCGGAACUCCGGUGGCGAAGGCGAGGUGCUGGACCCUUUCUGACGCUGAGGCGCGAAAGCCAGGGGAGCAAACGGG
rnacentral:rRNA from 1 species